CCUUUUCAGCAACAUGUGAGAGAGAAUGAACACAAGUAAACUUUAGUGUCACCAUAGAGAAUAAGGUCAGUUAGAGGGAUGACCUUGCUGAAAAAGUGACAGAGGAGCCAGUCCUUGUGCAGCAAAGAAGAUGUGAGGAAGGAGACCAGACAACAAAAGGAGAUUUUGCAACAAUAAGAACAUAGUCAAGAUCAGGAGAGGGAAGGAGAAUGAAAUUGGUAGUAAAAAAAGAGCAAAUUCACAAGAAUAUCAGGUCCACAACAGACAGUGUCUGCAACCACCCUCAGAUACAGGAUCUGCAGCCUAUGCCAGGCCAAGAAGACAAGUUUCAUUGGGCAGUUAAGCACAUUAAUCAAGCAGAGGUUCUUCAUGGGACAGACAAGUGGCUUCUACAAAUAUUUAGACAUAUCCUGAUGGACACCUGCUUCAAUCUCUCAGAAGAAUCAUUCUAUCAGGAUGACCAGACAUGAAGAAUCAUAGAAGUGUAGGAUGGAAAGGGAUCUCGAGAUGCCAUCUGGUCUAAUACCCUGCACUUAAGACGUAGAUAAGGGGUGUCCGGGAUCCGGGAGAAGAUUGGUUGCUAAUUACACAGAACCUGGAAAGAGGGGACAGAAGGGAGACCAAAGAAUAAUGAGGUUUCAGUGAGUAAAGCUCCAGUGAUCACUUAUAGGAGGAAGAUCUGCUGCUGCUGCAAAGUUCUGAGUGGCCAUGAAUUGCAGCACAAUGACAAGCUGUAAAAACAUCAUGAGACAAGAGUCAUCUGACUUGUUAUUGUAUCCUUUUGUGUUAAAAGGAAGAAUGAAGAGCAUUCUCUGGGUAUGUCUACACUGCAAUGUAAGCUGGACUCAGACUCAGCCUCCAACCUAACACUCCUUCUGUCUAUUCACGUGACACUAACACAGGGCUCAGACCCAGGGCCCCAGAAGCCUGCGGGGCUGCAGGGUCUGAGCACAAGUCAAGUCUUAACCGAGGGUUCAAGCUCUAUUGCUUUGCAGUGCAGAAUAGCCUCGCUUGACCUGGACCUAGGAGUCCACCAAAAAGUAUCCCACAAUCCCGUGGGCCAACUUCCUUUGUCCUCUCUAUCCCAAGAAUCUUGAAUCUACUCUAUUGAAAACAGAAGCAACCACCCGUGGUGUACGGCAGCAACUCAGUUAGUUAGUGUUAACCCUUCCAUUGUCUUCUGACCACCGAGCUGCAAACACACCAUCAGAGAGCUUUCAGUGCUUGCAAUAAUGACUGAACAGAACAAGCCUUUUGGAAAGCAUACUGCUUUGUGGUCAUGGGAACAAAGCCUGAUUUUGGUAAAUCUCUGAUGCAAGGCCAGCAAAACUGUGGACUUAAGUAAGAAUACCAGGAAUGACUACGCAUAUUAGUAAAUAGUGAAGAAGUUGGCAGCUUUGCAAAUUUACCCAACCUGUGCCCAGUGCAAAGGAGUGGCUUAAAUAGUUCAAGAGUGAGUACCAGAAACUCAAGGAACAGAACCACACCUCAGGCCAAAAUCAUGAGUGUUAUGAGAAGUCUGGUUGCUGAGCACUGUGCUGAGGAUUGAGCCAACAGUGGUGCAUGAUGAUCUGGUCAGCCAGGAUGGGGCCCCACUGUCUUCAGAAUCCACCAUAGGGACUGAUGGGAACCUGCAGCAAUCUCCAAGUGGGGACAGUGAAGUCACUCUGUUGCUGAGACCUGUUCCAGAACAGACUUUGGAGCAGGAGCAGCAGCAAUACAUUCUGGGUCUGUGCUCAUAUGGGCUGAUGCACUCCACAAGGAGCAGACCGCGGCGGAGCCUGCAGCAGAUACACAUGGGACCGAAGCUGUUCCUAAGCCCCAGGAAGUUUCUGGCUCCAUUUUAAUGUUUGUUAAUACAGUAAUGUGGCCAAUGCAAAAGUUAUAAGAACCCCAGCUAGCAGCCUGUAUCUGCUAGUGGUGGAUUAUAUGCCAGCGGUAUGGCUCUUCCACCCAACCACUGCCACCACAUUGAGUUCAAAAUGCAAACCAGGACUUGCAAACGGCAAAGAACAACUUUAAAGUAUUUUUACUGGAAAGGCACAGAUUUUUGCUAGGCCAUUCCUAUUUCUUAAAAACAAUAACCUUACAUUGCCAUGCAAGUAAGUACGCCACUCUGUAACCAUUCUACAGUCUAUUGAGCUGCCUGGAAACAGUGAACUCUGUGAGUGUUUGGAGAAAUGUGUUCCAUUCACAAAUCUAGUCCAUUGUAGUCAGUGCAGUCCAUUGAUCACAAUUUCCCCCCCCCAAAUAUGACUGUGGUCUGAAAUUUUCUGGGGGUGGGGAGGAGGAAGGCUGUGAAUUUCUUCAUGUUUGCAUGUUGUCAUAACAGGCUAUGCCAUGUGGAAUCCAACAAAGCAUCCUGUUGAUUCCCUCAGGAAUUCUGACCCAUUCCUGGGUGCUGAUAGCUGUAAAGUUUUCCUGAAGCAGGAACUCCGGUUAGGUAGUCAUAUUUCAGGGAAGGGCGUAUUUUCCAGGGCCACCUCAGUAGCUGACCAAUCCACACCACUCAUAAAUUUGCUGUUCAGUUACUAUACAUUUUAAUACUUCUGUUGCAUAAACUGCAGGUUUCCCACCAAUAGCUUGGAAUAACACCUCCUUUGCCAAUCAGGCACCACAAGAACUGUUAUGUCCUCCAAAAUUGGAAAGGCCUGAAAUUGUAGAAAAAUCUUUUGUAGCACAGCCAGCCUUCCACUCCGACCUGCCCCAAAACCAAGUUGUUUUGCAGUUUUCUAACAUCAAAAAAAUCAGCUUUCCAUUUUUAAUUCUCCAUUGUGCCUGUAAUUCUUUCACUAAAAGAACAAGGAGUACUUGUGACACCUUAGAGACUAAGUAUCAGAGGGG